GUGUGUCUGCGUGUCUGUGUAUUUCAGGCCUGUGUGUGUUGUGUGUGAAAGGUUUACCUACGCCCUAUGCAUUUGUGGAUCUGGAUUCUCUGGGUUUUUACUCACACUACACACACACACAGACACACACAUACACACACACACAGUUUGAGUUUGGAGACAAACUUUCUGCCAGACUGAACAGAAAUCGACUCGUAACACCGCUUUUCUUUUUAGGAAGAUGUUCACAAAUGUUUUUCAUUUAUUUGUAAAUGUACAUGUAUGUGUCAUGCACUUACAGGUUGUUGUUGUUGUUGUUGUUUUUAAUUAGUGGAACUGGUUUUGUGUGUUUGCAGAUUUUACUUGCUAACUAUUUUUGUGAGUUCACAAA